rnacentral:lncRNA from 1 species
GGGGGAGGGGCUGUUACUCACACGCGCCGGUCUGGGUUCAGAUCAGUUCUGUUCUGUGGUCUCCCAAGGCCCUUGAUUUAUAGGGUCCCCGCGGACGGAAGCUUUCCCCCUGUCAGCGGGUCUCCACUGAAUCAGCGGCAGGAGUCCUGGAUGAUCCCCCGGUCGCGCGGCCCCUCCCCCGCUCCUUCCCAACCCACGCCGCAGCGAUCGCAGACUCUAGGGGAGGGAGCGAAGUUCUCUCUAUCGUUCCAGCGCCUCCGAGGGUGUAAAGCAAGGUUAUGAUCUCCGCCUUCUUGGUAUUAAUGAAGAUUAUUGUUGAGGAUCGUAUGGAGUUGAUGUGAGGUUCCUAUGCACAUCUGCAGACUCUGGGAAUGAGAAGCUGGCUUCCCUUCAAGAUGACGUGAAAGGGAACUGAUGGCCUGUGCGAUUAAGGUCCUCCAAAUGCAGAAUCCGAAGGGCUUUAGCCUGUAUCAAGAGGAUCCAGUGAUGUAAACUCUUCCAGG